CCAUGUCCUCAGGAACAAAAGUAACUACUCACAAGACAUAAUCAUAAUCAUGACCAGAGGUGUAAUGAAUAGCAUGAAGGAUCUGAACAUAAACUCUUCCACCAAGUAAUCCAACUAGCAUCAACUACAAAGAGUAAUCAACACUACUAGUAACCUUACAAGUACCAAUCGGAGUCGUGAGACGGAAAUUGGUUACAAGAGAUGAACUAGGGAUUGGAGAGGAGAUGGUGCUGAUGAAGAUGUUGAUGAAGAUGCCUCCCCUCUGAUGAGAGGAGUGUUGGUGAUGAUGAUGGCGACGAUUUCCCCCUCCGUGAGGGAAGUUUCCCCGGGAGGAUCGUCCUCCCGGAGCUCUAGAUUGGAUCUGCUCAAGUUCCGCCUCGUGGCGGCGGCGAAACCACGAAAAAUCUCCCUAUUGAUUUUUUCCAGACCAAAACCCUUCAUAUAGCAAAAGAGGGGGCUACUGGGCCUUCAGACAGCCCACAAGCCUGCCCUGCGCCACCAGGGGGGUGGUGGCGGUGGGCAAGCUUGUGGGGCCCUGGUGGCCCCCCUCUGGUAGUUCUUUCGCCCUGUAUUUUUAAUAUAUUCUAGAAAAAAUCCACGUAAAUUUUCAGGGCAUUUGGAGAUGUGCAGAAUAGUGGACUAGGAUUUUCUCCUUUUCCAGUCCAGAAUUCCAGCUGCCUGAAUUCUCCCUCUUCAAAUAAACCUUGCAAAAUAAGAUAGAAAAGGCAUAAAUAUGGUACCACAAGUAAUA
rnacentral:lncRNA from 1 species